UUGGAGAAUGUGCAUAUACUAACAAUGUUACGUUAAUGUUAACAUCAUCUUAACAUAUUGGGUCCGAUAAAAUUGAGUGACAACCAAUUUGAUUUAUCCAUAAAUUAAUAUGAAAGUUUAGACGUGUUGCUAGGAGGAAAUAGUGCACAAGGAUUCAUUAGUUUUGAGGAGUGAACGAAGACAACAGGUCCUCUUGCAAAGGAGUGGUGUGACAUGCAUACGAUGACAAGCGAGGACAUGCAACAUGGUCCAAUUUAUAGCGUAAGCUCGUCGUUUACCCUAGUGACAACCUAUUAAAGUGAGGGUUUGCGAGGAACUAAUAUUAAUUUUGCCAUCUUUCCUUGGAGUUGGGAUUCGUUCGUUGCACUCGAAUCUUGCAUGUGUGUGGUACGUGACUUCCAACUAUUAAUGAUCAUUCAACCCUACAACAAUUGAAAUGCACGCCAACGUAAGUUUUACUCUCAAAUACAAUAUGAUUGAUAUUAUUGCAUAUAUGAUCUCAUCGUGGAUCUUGCUAGAUUAAAAUUUCGUUUCGGACACGAUUUUUUUCAGUUGUUGUGUUCAUAAGCGAGACGAUCGGAUCAAUAUCCUAUAUUGCUGUUAAACCAUAUCAUUAAGACUAUAUUAUCAUAAUCCAAGCUUUGAUUUAGGUUAAAAUUUAAUUAUAAGUUACACAUCAUUGAUCAUGUUGGUGUAGAGUUAAAUCGAUGACACAACAAAAUAUUGUUGAUGUUUUGUGAUUGGGUAAUCACGUGAUGUGGUAGGUUCGACGUGAACUGCUUAUAUGAAAACCGUUUAACACUUUUUUAGGAUGCAUGCAACCAUGUUGUCUUUGUAGAUUGAAUGUUCUUAUUUUCAGUUCGAAAUUCAUUAUUAUUGCUUAGCUUCGAUUGUUUAUGUGCACAACAUUGUUUUUUGUCAUUUUUCGGUUGUAAUUAUAACUAUUGCGCUGUUUUUUUAGUAAUUGUACAUGAUUGAUUUUUUUUUUCUCUAUAUAAUCAUAUAUUGAAGAGAAGGACUGUAGCGAAUAAUGUGAUAAAAACAAAACUGGUGUUCAAAAUGGCAACACCGAGAUAUUAUUGAAUGUAUGCCAUAUAUGAGAUAUUAUUAAAUGCAUGUGGGUAUUUUAAUUGUUUUAAGACUUCGCUUUUAUAUUUGUAGGUAUUUUAAUGUUUUCUGUUUUUUAAGAUAUUAUUUACUGGAUGCCACGUACGAUACAAAAAAGUACAACAACAAAAUUUUUACUGAGGCUCUCUAAAUUGGUUAAUUUUUUAAAAACCAAAUUAUGUUUUUUCGGACUAAACUUUAAUUUUAUUUUUUAUUUUUAAAAAAAAUCAUGUAUUUUUUAUUUUAAUUUUUUUGAUAAAAACCUUCAACUUUGUCUUUUUCUUCGAAAAAACAUUUAACUUUCAAACUAUUUCCAAAAAACCUCACUAUUUUAGUUUUUUUUUUUCAAAAAAAACCUAACAUUUUACAAGUUCUUUUAGGAAAAAAUGACUAAAAGGGAUAGAUUGGAAAAAAUGAAAAAAAAUACAAUGUUUUUUUAGGAAAAAAUAAAGUUGAGCGUAACAUCCAAUUUCAGGAUGUUUCUAAUUUUUUGGAUAACGGACCGUAAUUUGACCGAGUAAACGUUUUAGGCUUCAAGGGAAUAUAAUUUAGACCUUAUUGGAUAUUGAUAAUGUUAGUUAAGUGAUUUAAGUCUUAGAAUUACUUUUUUGGAGCUAAAGGGGUAAAAUGAGAAAAAUGAUAUUCUAGACUUUUACAUGUAUUAAUAAAUUCAGUUCUAUAUGCUUCAAGUCAAAAGUAAUUACAUAGAAUAGUGAAACUUUUCAAUACUUUCGUGUGCAUAUAAAAAUCACUGAUAACAAAGUUAGAAUGAAGAAGUUAACAUUGUUUGAACCUGAAGCUAAAAACCAAAAAAUCAGGAAUUUAUCCAAGGAAUACAGAGCGCUCUUUAAGAGCGUCGUACGCCCCUGGCCUAGUGGGUUGCAUCUUUUUUUUUAGGAUUUUUGGGGUAUUUAAAGGCCAUUAACUCUAAGGGUUUGUCAUUUUCAACCUCCACCUCCUUUAAAACACCUCGAAUGAAACCCUAACCUCCAUUAAAGUGUGUGGAGCUUAUCCUCUAUCAUAAAUCCAUUUGGUACUAUCUUAAUGACCAUUUGGUUCUUUCUUUUGGUGGUAUUGAUCUCUAGAAGGAAGAAGAACAAGAAAGAUUGGCCUUUGAAGCUAUGUAUUUGAAGUAUUCAGCCUCCAUCAACAUUCUCGACCUUUGUAGGUUACAAAGUUCCAAGCUUUAUUGUGUUUUAUCUUUAGAUCUAUGAAUAUAUGGAGUUUUGGUCCAUUUUAAUGAAUUUUUGUCCAUUGGUGGCUUUUUCCAUAGAGUUUGAAGAGCUCUUGAGCAAUGACGGAGGCAAUACGGGGGCUGCCGAGUGUUCAGCCACCCCCGAUCUUUUUCCAAAUUGUAUCUAUAACAUAAGCCCAACAAGCCACAUCGAUUAAUUGAUAGUGAUUUGAGCCCCUCCUAUGAUUAAAAAAAAAUUAUCAAAUAAAAUGAGUAAGUAUGAGUAAUAUGAGGCCCACUUUUAUUUCAUAACCACCACCUCUAGGGGUGUUCUAAAAUAUCCGCAUCUGAAAUAUCCGAUCCAAAAAUCCGAUCCGAAAUUAUCCGAAAUUUCGGAUAUCCGAAUUUCGGAUAUCCGGUUUUUCGGAUUCGGAUACGGAUAGUGAAUUUAUAAAGUUUCGGAUAUUUCGGAUAUCCGAUAUCCGAAAAAAAUAACUUUUCUUUAUUUUUUAAUAUUUUAAAAUGAGAAAUUAGAAACAUUGACAUGCUUAAUGGACUAAUGUUCCCCACCAUUUUCAACUUUUUCGUGACCAUUCUUUUCAAACUUUUAUUGCAAACCUUUCAUUUUACAAUCGUUAUAUAUUUGUUUGUUAUAAUCCAGGUUCGUUGGCUUAUAAUCAAAAACUAUUUAGUAAAUGCUACAUAUAUUUAUUUGUUGCUAUCGAUGUCCAUCUAUGUCACAAGAUUUAACAUAGUUGCUAUUAUUAAUUUUAAGAGUUGCGGUGAUUUUACGGAUCGGAUAUUCAGAUGCGGUUUAAAAUUAAUGAAAUUCGGAUAUCCGGUUUAAUAUCCGAAUCCGUAUCCGAAAUUUCGGAUGGAUUCGGAUAUCAAAAAUCAACUAUCCGAAGUUUUGGAUAUCCGAAAUUUGGAUAUCCAAAUUUUCGGAUAUCCGGUUUUGAACACCCCUAACCACCUCCGUCCUACUUAUUUUUUCAAUCGACUAAUUAAUACCUAGUCCAUUUGUAAUUAGUAAGAAUACCUCAAUUGUUUAUAAUUUUUUUCUAGUAAACGAUGAUUCAAGAGAUUCACAUCUACUUUUAUUCGUCGAAGAUGUUAACUUUCAAUUAAUUUCCGGCGACACUGUUACAUCAACGAGAUUUCACUUCUAAGGUAAAUUUUUUUGCAUACGUUAUUUAGUGUUAUUUGUAAUUAAUAAUUUAAUUAUUGUUUGAUAAUUUGGUUUAUUAUAAUUACUGGUUUAUUAUAAUUAUAAAUUUAUAAUAGAGUAAAUUAUGAGCAAGAAAAGAAUAGAAGAUGUACAGGACCCAUAAUUAUAUCCAUGAUAAUACUAAAGAAAUCGUUCAUAAUUCAUAAUAGUAACAUUGAAGAGCCCAAUAAUAUUGAACAUUAAAAAAAUGAUAUGUGAGAUUUAUGAGAGGUACAUUAGAUUCUUUAAUUCAUGAUUCGUGAUCCAUAAGAACAACCUUUAAUCUUAAGUUAUCCAAGUAACCAACGUGAUAUAACUUGAAAGCUUUUGAAGAUUGAAGUUAAUGGAGACAAAAUUUUUAAUUCUUUGUGAUUUUUUAUUUUAAAAAUUUAGACCUAUUAUAUUAUUUGGGUAUAACAUUAUAUUUUAAUAUAUUAUUGUGAUAUGAGGCUAUUAGCCCAUUUAUUUUUAAAUCCUGGCUCCGCCCCUGCUCUUGAGCUUUUGAUUGAUGUUUGGGAUAAUAUAUGGUCAUUUGGUGAAGUAGAGAGUGCAUGCAAUAAUUCUCUUUAGUCCAUGCAUAAAGAAAGAUGGGUUUUGGGCAUUUCUUAAAUUAGAGUUUUAGAUAUUAGAAGUUUGUGGCAUUAUAAUGGAUUAAGUUGGAAAACUUUAUCCAUUUAGACGUCAUAUUGCUUUAGAUAUGAAAGUGGCAGACUUGGACUAAUUAGAUUAAGACAAAAAAGAUGCAUUCUUGGACUUUAUGAGAAUUAAAGUUUAGAUCUUGCAUGAUUAGAGUGUCUUAAUGGGUAAAGUUGGAAACAUUAUCCAUUAAGACAUUGUUAAGGAUAAGAUAUGGGAAUUUGGGGAAUUGACUUAAUGGAACAAGUCAUUUUACCAUUUGGAUUGAGUCAAAGCACAGUGCGCUUCUUUAAAGUGUGGGGCGCUUUUAGGGUUCCCUGAUAAGCGCUUGUUUAAGCAUAACUAGAUGAUUGUUUUGUCAUGUAGUGGGCGCGUGACACCUUUAGCAGGGCGUGGGGCGCCUGUUGACCAGAGGUCGAAUAUAAUUGACUUUUUGACUAAGUUUGACAUUGGGUCAAACUUUAGUGUUUAGGUUAUUGACUGAGAUUUGACCUUGUGAUUAUGAUUAGGUGGGUUGUAAAGCCAACCUUCUAUGUUUCUAUGUGUCGUGGUGACUGUUUGGUUUACCUAUGAGGCGAGUCUUCUCACUAUACUUUGUUCUACAGUAUAAAUCUUAUAUAUGUUAGGAUGUUGAGUAAAUCACACGAAUGGUCCCUGUAGUUUGGGGCAAUAUGUGUGCUUGGUCCCUAAUUCUUUUUCUUAACUCAGACGGUCCCUAAGAUGUAAUUUUGUUGCAUGUUUGGUCUCUGAUAGACCUAAAAAAGACUAUAUUACCCUUUUGUUUCUUUUUUAAUUUUGUAAUUAUAUUUUUCUUUAUUUCUAAAUUGUUAAUUAUUAUUUAUUUUAACAAUAAAAUAAAUUAAAAAUAAUCACCGUAAUAUCUCUUAUCUCUUCAUAUCUCUUCUCUAAAGCAAAUGGAGAACACAGGGAGAUCACCAGUAGACCAGCAGUCAAACCACACUUGGCGAAAAGCAUCGGAAUCGCCGGACCGCCGGACCAUGACGUCGGAAACCCGCCGAUAUACACUCAAAAGUUAUUGGUAAUCACUAGAUGCGCCAUAUUUGCACGUUCCCCCUUCUCACUCUUUCACCCUCUAGAUUUAUCUUCUUCAUUCCAUCUCCGACUCUAACCAAAAUCAUAAUACAGUGAAGAAAUUGGAUUCCAAAUCAUUCAAGAUCCUAAAUCAAACUACAAAUCACCCUAAUGAAAAAAGCGGAUUUGUAAACUCGACCUCUUACCCUGUGCUCAGAUGUAAGACAAUUAUGGUUUUCUAAAGAUGUAAAAAUUGAAGAAAUCGAUUCAAUAAAGAUGGGAAAAUCGAUUUUGUUUGCAGGUGAAUGUAUGGCAAAAAUCGAUUUUGUUCGUCGGUAUCAGAGGAAAAAAGGAGAGGUUACUUGAAGAUGGAGAUCGGUGGCAAAUGCUUUGUAACACCUUAAGAAUUAAAACACUUUUUUACAUUUUCAAAACACAUUUUCCAUUCACAUUGGUUAAUAAAACAUCAUUGUAUCAUAUCCUUGUUUCACAAAACAUUCCCCAAGAUCGAAAUACAUAAAAUCCCAUGUGUGUACGACUCAUGCCGGCGCCUUCCCGCGAUCAUCGCUGGUACCUGAAACACAUAUCACACAACACUGUAAGCAUAAAUGCUUAGUGAGUUCCCCAAAAUACCACUCUAACACAUAAUAGCCACUCGAGGCUGUAACUCUGUCGACCCUCUGGUCAAUGUGUCUCAGUGGGGCCCUCCAGCCCCAACUCUCUGUGGGCCCUCUGGCCCUAACUCUAUGGACCCGAAGGUCCUAACUCUGAUAACUCUGAAUCAUGCAUAUUACAUAUCACAAUAAAUCUCAUAAAAUAAAUAGCAUACAAAUACACUGGCACAUAACUCUAAACCUAACUCUGUGGACCCUCUGGUCCUAGCUCUAUAGACCUUCCGGUCCUAACUCUGAUAUACACACAACAUAAAUCACAUAGAAAUAAUGCAGUGCCACACAUCGCAUAGAUAGCAUACGAUAACUCUGUCACAUAACUCUGUUACCACUCUAGGUAAAGUAUAGUGAGAAGACUCACCUCCGCUAUCUCGGUAAAUCUCUGACCUGGUAAACGAUGGCCUAGCCUCCCCCUAAUCAAAAGAAAUAAAUACCCUAUUUAAUAUAACUCUUAAAGGCUAAACUAUGUCCUCUUAUGAUACUCUCAGAAGGGUAAAAGACCAUUUUACCCCUCUCAUAACUCAAAAGGCCCCACAAUAGACCAUACCCUAAAAGUCAACCAAAAGUCAACUUUCCGGGUUAUGCUGCGCGUACCAAAUGUGUACGAUGAGCGUACCUGGCUGCCUCUCAGAAUCGGGGAACGCCACCCAGUACGCGGCGCGUACUGGGAUUACGUACGGCGUACUCCCCUGCUUCAACCCCUUAGCUCUUGAGGUCUUAAACAGUUAAGACCCACGUCCAAAUUCUAGAUCUGACCACACCUAAGCCUCUUAAUCCAUAAAGUUGAUGACUUUAAGCCUUUGCAUGGCUGAACAAGCCACCAACUCCUAUAAUAUUCCAUCCUCAAACUCUAGAAAGCUUAUUACUCAAGCAUGAACUCAAACUAACAACCAAGAUGGAAACUUUAUGGCUCUAAAUCACUAAUACUACUGAAAAGGGACAGAUCUCGAACCAUGGAGCACCUUAUACUCAUAAAGUCUCCACUUUUGGGGUUUUUAACCCAAGAAAUGGCACAUGUAACAACAACCAAAAGAAGAGGAAAGUUUUGAACUUUAUACCUCUAAGUGUAGCCCCUUUCUCUGUAGAUCUCAGAUCCAAAUUGGCACUUCUAGCUUUAGCUUCCAAGAGCUCCUUUCCUUCUUCUUCACUAAGUUACCAAUGCACAAUUAGCUCCAACAACACCCACACACACUAAGGACGAUGGGAGGCUCUAUCUUAGGGUUUCACUCACUGAUAUGGAGGCUGAGAAAUGAGCCUUAGCACCCUUUAAAUAGUGCACAAGACAGAUUUAGGUUUUGCACCUGGGUCGGGUACGCCCGACGUAACUCUGGGUACGUCGAACAUACCUUGGCGACUCCGCGUCCAAACUAAGCGCAUGAGUACGCACAGCGUACCCUUCUGGUACGCCCAGCGUACUCACUUUCUAGGUUCCCUCUACUUAAGGACCAAUCAUGACCAAUUGACAAAGAAUAAGGGUGAAAGAAAUGCACCUGAAUCUCGGGAUGUUACAAUUCUCCCCCACUAGAACCAGACUUCGCCCCCGAAGUCUCAUUCCUCGAACAACUCUGGGUGCUAUCCUCUCAUCUCUAACUCUGACUCCCAAGUCAUCUCGGACACCUUCUGAUGUUGCCACUGAACCAANUCCUUGUUCCUCAAACCCUUGACCUUCCGAUCCCUGAUCGCCACCGGCCUCUCAGCAUAAUUCAGGCUCGCAUCCACCUGAAUAUCCUCCAACGGCACCACUGCCGACUCAUCGGCUAUACACUUUCGCAACUGCGACACAUGGAAAGUGUCAUGAAUCUGUCCCAACUCCUCAGGUAGCUCCAAACGAUAUGCUACCCUGCCCACCCUCGCGAUCACUCUAAACGGACCAAUAUACCGGGGCCCUAGCUUGCCUCUCUUCCAGAAUCUAGAAGUGAAACGCACAUCUCGAUCUGAGACGAUCAAGAUUGGUACUCCAUGUCGCGAUACCAUCUCUCUCACGUACAACUCUGCCAAUCUCUCAGUGGAAGAGCUCUCACUGAUAGCAAGGAAGUGGGCGCUCUUCGUCAACCUGUCCACAAUCACCCAAAUUGCAUCGACUCCCCUAGCAGUCCUUGGCAAUUUGGUGAUAAAAUCCAUGGUAAUCUGUUCCCACUUCCACUCGGGAACCUCCAACGGCUGCAACUUACCAUGCGGUCUCUGGUGCUCGGCCUUAACCUUACGACAAGUUAAGCACCUCUCAACAAACCACGCGACAUCCCUCUUCAUACAGGGCCACCAAUACUCUCUCUUCAGGUCCAAAUACAUCUUAGUGGCCCCAGGAUGGAUCGAGAACUUCGAUCGAUGAGCCUCUUCCAUCAAAAUGGUACGCGUCCCGCCCACAAACGGUACCCAGAUACGACCCUGGAAUGUCAUAAGCCCCCGGCUAUCGGUAACGAACUCCGAUACCAACCCGACAACUCGUUCUCUCUUCUGGUUUUCUGAUCUCACGGCCUCAGCCUGGGCCCCACGAAUGGUGUCCAACACCGGAGUCAUCACUGUCAAUCUCAAACAAACAUCUCGCAUCGGGGCGCUCUCCGCCCUUCGGCUCAGUGCAUCGGCUACAACAUUAGCCUUACCCGGGUGGUACAGGAUCUCGCAGUCGUAAUCCUUUACCAUAUCCAACCAUCUCCUCUGGCGCAUAUUCUGGUUGGGCUGAUCCAUCAAGUACUUCAAGCUCUCGUGGUCCGUGUAUAUGGUACACCGAACCCCAUACAGAUAGUGACCCCAGAUCUUGAGGGCGAACACCACUGCCCCCAACUCUAGAACGUGAGUGGAAUACCUCGUCUCAUAAGGCUUCAGCUGCCUCGAUACGUAUGCUAUCACAUGCCCUCUCUGCAUUAGCACUCCCAGCCCNNNNNNNNNNNNNNNNNNNNNNNNNNNNNNNNNNNNNAGGGCUAAAACUGGGGCUUCGCACAGUCUCUGGCGAAGUGUCUCGAAGGAGGCCUGCUGCUCUGGGCCCCAUGAAAAAGCAACACCCUUCCGGGUCAACCUGGUGAGUGGCACGACGAUCUUGGAGAAAUCCCUGAUAAAUCUCCGAUAAUAGCCUGCCAGCCCUAAGAAACUCCUGAUCUCGGUGGGUGACCUCGGCACCUCCCAACUCAUCACUGCCUCAAUCUUGGCCGGGUCGACCAAUAUCCCUUUCUGGUUAACGAGGUGCCCUAGGAACUGGACCUCUCGCAACCAGAAAUCACACUUGGAGAAUUUGGCAUAAAGCCUCUCCGAUCUAAGAACUUCGAGGAUCUCCCUCAAAUGCUUCUCAUGUUGCCCUCUGGAUCUCGAAUACACCAAAAUGUCAUCGAUGAAUACGAUCACCGAGCGAUCCAACAUCGGCCUGCACACUCUUUUCAUGAGAUCCAUGAACACUGUCGGUGCAUUGGUGAGUCCGAAAGGCAUCACCACAAACUCGUAAUGUCCAUAACGAGUCCUGAACGCUGUCUUCUGGAUGUCCUCAUCUCGCACCCUCACCUGAUGAUACCCAGACCUCAAAUCGAUCUUGGAGAACCAAGAUGCUCCCUGCAACUAAUCGAACAAAUCGUCGAUCCUUGGCACCGGGUAACAGUUCUUAAUCCGUCAGCUUGUUCAACUCUCGGUAGUCAAUGCACAUCCGGUGUGAACCAUCCUUUUUCUUGACAAAAAGGAUAGGCGCUCCCCACGGCGAGCUACUCGGCCGAAUAAACCCUUUUCCCAGAAACUCCUGAAGUUGCGAGGAUAACUCCUGCAUCUCUGGAGGCGCAAGGCGAUAGGGCACCUUGGCGAUAGGUGCGGCCCCCGUAACCAAAUCGAUACUGAACUCCACCUGCCUCACGGGAGGCACGCCCGGCAACUCCUCCAAAAAUACGUCCGGGAACUCACGCACUAUUGGAACUUCAUCAACUGACCUCGGUCUCUCUGAAUCAACCCUCGUAUCCAUCACAUACGCUACAAAGCCCCUACAGCCCUGCUGUAGACACUGUCUCGCUCUAGCGGCCGAACAAAAUGCUGACCCAGACGGUGUACCCUCACCGUACACCGUAAGAACUCCCCCACUAGGGUCUCGUAUGGUCACCAGCUGUCGCUUAUAGUCGAUAACCGCUCCGAAUCUGCUCAACCAAUCCAUGCCCACGAUGACACAGACAUUUCCCAUCGCAAUAGGAACUAAAUCAAUCGGGAAUUCAACACCGAAAAAUAUUGAGUACACACCCUCGGAUCACCUCUGUGGCAUAUACCGCCCUCUCGUCAGCUAUGGAAACUCUCAGAGGUUGACUCAACGCCUCACGACUAACACUGAUGUGCUGACUAAAAGCCAAAGAUACAAAAGACCGACUCGCACCCGAGUCAAAUAACACCAAGGCAGGUAUAGAACUCACAAGAAAAGUACCUACGCAUAACAUAAUAUAAGCACAAUAUCUCAAUAUCAAAAUAAAUACACGAAAGAAUACAUUCCAGCCACGACAUCGGGCGCUGCGCGGACCUCCUCCGCGGUCANNNNNNNNNNNNNNNNNNNNNNNNNNNNNNNNNNNNNNNNNNNNNNNNNNNNNNNNNNNNNNNNNNNNNNNNNNNNNNNNNNNNNNNNNNNNNNNNNNNNNNNNNNNNNNNNNNNNNNNNNNNNNNNNNNNNNNNNNNNNNNNNNNNNNNNNNNNNNNNNNNNNNNNNNNNNNNNNNNNNNNNNNNNNNNNNNNNNNNNNNNNNNNNNNNNNNNNNNNNNNNNNNNNNNNNNNNNNNNNNNNNNNNNNNNNNNNNNNNNNNNNNNNNNNNNNNNNNNNNNNNNNNNNNNNNNNNNNNNGCUACUGGCUGAGACUGCACCGGUCGCCGAUCCCUCCCCUGAGACUCAGCCUCUUCCCUUGCCUGGGUCUCCAGCUCUAUCUCCCUCUUUCGGGCAUUUGCCUGAAGCUUGGAAAAUGUCCGGUACGUCGAGUUCUCCACGAACUCUCGUAUAUCCCUCCUCAAAAUGCUCAGAUAUCGGCUCAUACGUGCCUGGUCGGAGGACACGUGCUCUGGGCAGAACAUCGCCCGCUCAUGAAACAUCCUCGUAAUCACUGUAACAGACUCAAUGCCCUGCUUGAGGGUCAGAAACUCCUGGGCCAAACACUCCCUCUUCACCUAGGGAACAUACUCAUCUCGGAAUAUAGCAGUGAACCUCUCCCAGGUCACUACAGCAAGCUCAGCAGGCGUAUAAUGUGCCGUCACAAACUUCCACCAAUCCUUCGCUCCCAAGCGAAGCUGGUUCAGCGCGAACCGGACUCUCAAAUGCUCUGGAGAUGAGCAAGUAAAGAAACACCCCUAUAUGUCUAAAAUCCACCUCAUUGCUGCAAUUGGGUCCUGGGUCCCGUCAAACUCCGGUGGUUUUGUGUUGCUGAACUCUCGGAACAGCAACGCAUCACUACCCUGUGGCCUAGUCGCAGCUAUAGCUGCAGUGGCCGCAGCAACAACAGCCUCAGAAAGAGUAGCGUAUCUCUCAUCAAAUGUCUCUAUCAGUGUGGUCUUGAUAGACCCGAACAUCUCUGGUAUCUUUGCCCUGAUGGCCGCAGCCACCUCCUCAUGGAUGAUCCUACGGAUCUCCUCGUCACUCGUACCACUGCUCUCUGGUGUGUGGCGUGUCCCAACCAUGAUCUCCCUCUCUCUGAAAUACAACAUAAAAAUAUCAGGGACUCGCUCUAGUAUACUCACACUCGAAUACUCCACCCUACUUGUUCCUUGGUACUCUACGGAUUCUUACUUGGACUAUGCACUGACCCGGUAUCUUCAGUAGUACGGGCCCAAUACUACCGUCCAUACCGCAUCAGCAUUCAUCCCAAGUCCUCCCCCCAGAGUCCUAAGUCCCAAGUACUAUAAUCUCUCCAAUCAUGUGCUACUCACUAGCAGAUCUCUAAUAAGCUCCUUGUUGCUAUCUAAUUACUCUCAAGCAUCUCUAGCAACAAAACCCCUAGACUAAGGCAUCACAUAUCAGGCCACCCUAGUCCUAAUAAGAAUACCUAGUCUACUCUAGCAUGCAUAACAUAAUUCAUCAUAUAGCAUAACAUAACAUAUCUUGUAACACUUAUUGUAACGGUAUUUCGGGAAAUCACCGUUCGGGCGCUGGCUGAUCGUACACACGGCUCUGCUCUGUUUGUCUCAAAACUCUUUUUGCUCUUUAAAAUUUUUACUUUAUUUUCAAAAACUUUUCCUCAAAUCCGCAGUUUGAGUUCAGAUACACCUGAAGAUGCAUCCGAAUCCCUCAAACCAAGGCUCUGAUACCAACUUGUAACACCGUAAGAAUUAAAACAAUUUUUCGCAUUUUCAAAACACAUUUUCCAUUCACAUUUGUUAAUAAAACAUCAUUAUAUCAUAUCCUUGUUUCACAAAACAUUCCCCAAGAUCGAAAUACAUAAAAUCCCAUGUGUGUACGACUCAUGCCGGCGCCUUCCCGCGAUCAUCGCUGGUACCUGAAACACAUAUCACAUAACACUGUAAGCAUAAAUGCUUAGUGAGUUCCCCAAAAUACCACUCUAACACAUAAUAGCCACUCGAGGCUGCAACUCUGUCAACCCUCUGGUCAAUGUGUCUCAGCGGGGCCCUCCAGCCCUAACUCUCUGUGGGCCCUCUGGCCCUAACUCUAUGGACCCGAAGGUCCUAACUCUGAUAACUCUGAAUCACGCAUAUCACAUAUCAUAAUAAAUCUCAUAAAAUAAAUAACAUACAAAUACACUGACACAUAACUCUAAACCUAACUCUGUGGACCCUCUGGUCCUAGCUCUAUGGACCUUCCGGUCCUAACUCUGAUAUACACACAGCAUAAAUCACAUAGAAAUAAUGCAGUGCCACACAUCGCAUAGAUAACAUAGGAUAAAUCUGUCACAUAACUAGGUUACCACUCUAGGUAAAGUAUAGUGAGAAGACUCACCUCCGGUAUCUCGGUAAAUCUCUGACUCGGUAAACGCUGGCCUAGCCUCCGCCUAAUCAUAAGAAAUAAAUACCCUAUUUAAUAUAACUCUCAAAGGCUAGACUAUGUCCUCUUAUGAUACUCUCAGAAGGGUAAAAUACCAUUUUACCCCUCUCAUAACUCAAAAGGCCCCACAAUAGACCAUACCCUAAAAGUCAACCAAAAGUCAACUUUCCGGGUUACGCUGCGCGUACCAAAUGUGUACGCUGAGCGUACCCGGCUGCCUCUCAGAAUCGGGGAACGCCACCCAGUACGCGGUGCGCACUGGGAUUAUGCCCGACGUACUCCCCUGCUUCAGCCCUUAGCUCUUGAGGUCUUAAACAGUUAAGACCCACGCCCAAAUUCUAAAUCUGACCACACCUAAGCCUCUUAAUCCAUAAAGUUGAUGACUUUAAGCCUUUGCAUGGCUGAACAAGCCACCAACUCCCAUAAUAUUCCAUCCUUAAACUCUAGAAAGCUUAUUACUCAAGCAUGACCUCAAACUAACAACCAAGAUGGAAACUUUAUGGCUUUAAAUCACUAAUACUACUGAAAAGGGACAGAUCUCGGACCAUGGAGCACCUUAAACUCAUAAAGUCUCCACCUUUAGGGUUUUUAACCCUAGAAAUGGCACAUGCAACAACAACCAAAAGAAGAAGAAAGUUUUGAACUUUAUACCUCUAAGUGUAGCCCCUUUCUCUGUAGAUCUCAGAUCCAAAUUGGCACUUCUAGCUUUAUCUUCCAAGAGCUCCUUUCCUUCUUCUUCACUAAGUUACCAAUGCACAAUUAGCUUCAACAACACCCACACACACUAAGCACGAUGGGAGGCUCUCUCUUAGGGUUUCACUCACUGAUAUGGAGGCUGAGAAAUGAGCCUUAGCACCCUUUAAAUAGUGCACAAGACAGAUUUGGGUUUUGCACCUGGGCCGGGUACGCCCGUCGUAACUCUGGGUACGCCCAGCGUACCUUGGCGACUCCGUGUCCAAACUAAGCGCAUGAGUACGCGCAGCGUACCCCUCUGGUACGCCCAACAUACUCACUUUCUAGGUUCCCUCCACUCAAGGACCAAUCAUGACCAAUUGACAAAGAACAAGGGUGAAAGAAAUGCACCUGAAUCUCGGGGUGUUACGUGCUUGAUGACGGAGACAAGUUGCGGUAUAAAGCAUUGAUUUUGUGUGAAACAGAACAUAAAAAACCACAGUGCAUCACCUUUUAUAUCCAAGUGAGAGAGACAAUAGAGACGAUGGGCUAGUAGUGGUCGGCUUGACAGGGUCGUCGUUGUAACUUGUGAGUCAUUGUAUUGCAACGAUAUUUAGGGAACAAAGGUGCAAUUUUGGGGUUAGGGGUCCAUCACUUAUGAAGCAGAUUUGUAAUGGAGAUGGAGAAGACGAGAUGCAGAUCGAUAAUGAAAACAGAAAAGGGAGGGGGAAGCAGUCAACAAUAAAAGAGAAACCAUAUUCGUAUGAGAGAAAUAGAGAAGUAAGGGAGUUAGGUUUGGGGUGGGACCUUAUAGAUUUUUUUAUUAAAUUAGAUUUUUUAAAUAAAAAAUAAAUAAUAAAUAAUAAAUAAUAAAUAAUUUUGAAAAUAAAAUUAUAAGGGUAAAAUUAUAUUUUUAUGUUAGUAGGGACCGCACGAGCAACAAAAUUACAUUUUAGGGACCUUACGAGUUAAGAAAAAGAAUUAGGGACCAAACACAUAGAUUACCCCAACCCACAGGGACCAUUCGUAUAAUUUACUCUAGGAUGUUGAUAUGUUGUAAUGAAUUGUUAUGCAAAUAGAUUUAUUAUAAUUACCUGUGGUUGCUUGUUGGUAGUUGUUGUUUGCAUAUGUCGACAUAUUAUGGGUAGGUCGAGGGCGGUCCAACUGUGUGUUGAAGGCCAAGAUACUCAGGCGAUCUAGCUUAAUGUUGUAGGCCAAGAUACUCGGGCGAUCUAGCUUAAUGUUGUAGGCCUAAAGAGAGCGGUUCAACUCAAUGUUGUAGGCUCGAGAGGUGGUCCUGCCAUGUACUAUAGACCCAAAGGGAGUGGUCCAACUCAAUGCUAUAAUGUAACAUUUGGAUUUUUAGAGGUAUAUUGGUGUAGGUUAAUCUUGUGAUUAAAGGAGAGACUCGACAAGUUGAGGGUCCAACUCGCCGAGUCGAGUCGGGUUCUCUCGUGGAUUUAAUGAGUGGACUCGACGAGUCCAAGGAGAGGGACUCGCUGAGUAGGUGCUGGGCAGAGAAACCCUAAUCUCUGGGGUUUGGGACCUAUUUAAAGGCACUUAUUGCCUCCUUGGCCCCUUCCCAAUAGUGUCUUCGUCCAUUGAGAGAAACCCUAGAGUUAUUUAUGAGCUAGAGAGGAAAGAGGCUUCUUGGAGGUCAUUUCUUUGAGAGGAAGAUCAAGGGAGUUGCAAGGAUCUCAGAGGAGAGUUGGUGGAUCAUUCUCAUCUUCAUUUCAAGCUUCAGAUCUGGUACAACUCUUGCCUCCAUUGUGUUUGAGUAGAUUUCCUUAGUUGUAAAGUUGGUCUUGCAUCCAUAUUGAUGGGGUUUUGGGUGCAUCCAAACCCUCUUCUUGAGUCAAUUGUAGAUCUGGACCUUGUGAGGUCUAGAGAUCCAAAAAGUAGGCAGCCUUGAGUGAGUAACCUUGGAGCUUUGAAGCUAUGGAGCUUCAAUGGAGUCAAAAUGGUGUAUAGAGCAAAAUACACCAUGCAUGAGCCUCAAGUUCAGACCUUUGCAUGACUAUUGCGUAGUAGGAGGUUAGAUCUAUGAGUUUGGGUUGUAGAUCUGACCCCAAAUGGCUGAAUGAGAAAUCUGUGGAAGCCAAAUCGUCGAGUCCAUGGGUGAAUCGACGAGUCGUAGCAGGUUUGACUGAGUAGUCUUGACCCAGUGUUGUCUCGCCGAGUUGGGAGUCAACUCGACAAGCUGAGUGAGUCCUAGGUAGAGUUCAGCUGAUGUGAGGGGACUCGACGAGUCGCAUGUGUGCACUCAACGAGUAGAGGCAAAUGUGGACUGUUGACUUGAGCUUGACUUCUGUUGACUUUAAGGUUUUGGUCAACAUAAGUAAUAGAGACCUUGGAAGGGUAAAAUGGUAUUUUACCCACCUUAGAGAGUUAGAAAGAGAAGGAACUGCCUUCGAGAUUCAAGUGUGAGGAUAGCUGCUUUCUGUUUGCCAGGUGAGUCUUCUCACUAUACUUUACCUAGAGUGGUAAUUAGAGUUAUAUGACAGAGUAUCUUGUAUGCUAUUUAUGUGAUUGUGAUACACUGCAUUAUUUCUAUGUGAUUCAUGUCGUGUAUGUUCUAGAGUUUACAGAGUUAGAACCGGAAGGUUCACAGAGUUAGGACCAGAGGGUCCACAGAGUUAGGACCGGAGGGUCCACAGAGUUAUAGCCUCGAGUGGCUAACAUGUGUUAUAUGUGGUAUUUUGGGGAACUCACUAAGCUUCGUGCUUACCGUUUUAUGUGUAAUGUGUUUCAGGUUUUCCUCUCGGAAUCGUGGGACGACACCGGCUUGAUUGUACACACUAGAGAAAGAGUUAUGAGGAUCCUGGAAUAUUAAUGGAGUUGUGCUUUGUAAUUGAAUAAAAGAGAUUUUUAUACGAUUUGUUAUGAAGAGUAUGCAUUUUAAAAAUGAAAAAUUGUUUUAAAUUUUCACGUUGUUACAUAUAAGGUCGAUGGCCGGUCUAGCCCUGCAUUGUAGGCCUUGUGUGCAUGUAAUGUAUGGAU
rnacentral:lncRNA from 1 species